AGUUGGGGCACGAGGUGUUUGGUCAUACUGAAUCCACAGUCAGGAAAUGGAGUUCAAUGAGCAUCGGCUUCUCCUUCCUCAUAUCAUCUAAUAUGUUGGAGAAUCCUGAUAUUAAGCACAGAUACCUGGUCUUAUUUGGACGACGACCGUGGACAGAGCUUCCAGCGAGCCCUGCAUGACUCAGAGAAUAAGUCCCGAUCUUUCUUCCAACCCUAUGGGCUAUACACUUGAGUAUAUUAGAAUGAGUUAAGUCAUCUACUAAGAGAGCUUGUCUCCUGAGUGAGACUUGGCCAAACCAACAGAUGAGCUGUGAUAGCUCCAGAAUAUUAAGGGUUUGGAGGCAGUAUGUUGACAUAAUUCAAUCAUUAGAGAAACAUAAGAGCUAAGAAAAAAUGAGAGCCCGAGAAGAAAGGAGUUGGGAGGUGUUUCUGUAAACCAGUGCUGAAUCUGAGCUUUGCAGGCUAAAAAGAAGGGUCAAGACUUCCAAGAGAAAAGAACUCACCUAGCAGGAUGUAUGAAUGAAAGGAGAUGGGUCACUAAACAAAUCAAUUUAUCUGACAUAAACGAGCCUAGUGGAUAGACAAAAUAAGACCAGGGGAGCAUGGCAGCAUCCAGACAGAAAUGGUGCUGGGGAAGGAGCUGGGACUUCUACAUCUUCAUCCACGGGCAGUGGAAGGAGACCGUGUGCCACACUGAAUGUAGCCUGAGCAAGGGAGACCUCAAAGCCUGCCUCCAU
rnacentral:sRNA from 1 species